UUUUGAGGUGACAUGUCUUUUUUGGUGGCCGUAAACUUCCAUCCAAUAUGGCUUGCACAGAUCUUACACUGGGCAACAGUCCAGGCAUACCUAAGAAAUUAAGGAAAGAUAUCAGCUAAGGAAACAUUUCUGUACUCCAAGCCUAUCAUAUAAACCUAUCAUGAAGACAGACUUUAGAGGCAAAUUCUAAGGAUUAGAGAUUCUAAGUUGAGAUUUGAUCCAUACAGUUCCCUGAAACCUAAAAACAUUUCUAAAAACAUUUUCUAAUUUUGUAAUAUGUAUGACUUUUAUGCUCUUAAGCCAUGUUUACAUUUUUCUUCUACUGCAUAGAAAUAAAGAGUAAUCUUAAGAAUUUCUUUAUAGAAAUUGCUGGUUGCCAAGACCACAUUCUAACUUGUACUGGCACCACAUUCUAACUUGUACUGGCUUUUCCUUUGUUGUAUUGCAGUCAAGUUAGAAAACAGCAAUUACCUGCAGAAAUAAUGCACUUCUGUCUGAGUUAAACUGGAUGGGCCAGGAAGGACACGUCUCAAAAAGUAAAUAUUUAUAUUCUAAAAUAAGAACGAUUGUCAGAUAAUGCAACCAGAAAUACAAACCAUGGUAUUUUGUUCUUAAGAUAAACCAUGUAAUUGCAACUGUUUCCUUAUUUUUUUCCCUAGGUAUACCAUGCCACAUUUAUUUAUAGUAACAAAUGUAUUCUAGUUUUAGUCCUCACAUAGGGUGCCAAGUAAGAUAGGGCAAUCCAAGAUACAUAGUCCUAACCCCAGAGUAGCAUGUAAUCCCUUCUUAGCAUCCCUCUUUGAAAACUGAAGAUAGUACAGCUGAGGGAACUGAACAGGUUCCCAGGAUCAUAGAGAAUCAUUAAGCUGAAGCAAACAAACAAAAGGCAAACUAGAAGAAAAGCAGGAUUCAAUGGGUUCUGCACCUUCUUAGUCUAUCAUUGCUUUGUAAACAUUCUCCGGUUUUACAUUACUACAGAAUAUGGUCCAGAUAUAAAGUUCUACUGGGUCAUAAGACAGCUGAUUUUCAGAAUUACAUGACUGACAGAAAAAAACAAUUUUGGAUUUAACUGGAUACAGUAAUCUGAGGACAACUGCAGUUGUCAACCUUUUCUUCCUUUCAUUCAAUGAUAAAAGAUACAAAAAGUGCAACAGAUGUUUCUAGCUAUUUGUGGAAUGAAGGACAUUUAAAUAAAUUUUUUUUUUUUUUUAAAUAGACAGAUUCUCACUCUGUCACCCAGGCUGGACUGCAGUGGCACAAUCUUGGCUCACUGCAACACUCUUGCCUUCCAGGUUCAAGAGAUUCUUGUGCCUCAGCAUCCCGAGCAGCUGGGAGUACAGACCCCUGCCCCCAUACCCGGCUAAUUUUUGUAGCAAAUUACUCAUUUGUCUGUCUACUUUUUAUUAUAAAGAUUGUGGCAACUCUGCUUAGGACUCUGGAUUUUUCUGCCCAAUUAAGGUAAAAAAAGAAAAAAAAAAGCAACCACCACCAUAAUAUUACCCAGGAAACCAGCUGUGUUCUGUAGAAGGCCGGCCUAUCAGAUUCAAGUUGCAAGCCUUAUACACAGUAAGUGUCUCAUGCACAUAUCCAUGAGGAUUCACAUAAGCUGCCAUCGGCCCACAUAAGGAUAAACUAAAACAAAGAAUCAACAUGGAGAACACGUCAAAACGAGAAGUCUAAUUUUAUUAAAUGCUUAGAAUUUUAUUGAAGUUCACCAAGAAAUGAGGUAUGAGCUAUACAGUUUUUAAUCCUUCAGUUUUAUAUAAUACCAGGAUCUUAGUAUGAAAAUGGGGUGGGGGUACAGCUGGCAGACAGGCCUGUUUUGUCUAAAUGUCUAAAUGUUUUCUGUGAUGACCCAAAGGAAAUAGUACUUGUUUUUAAAACCCUCCUCAAGACAGACAUUGUAAAGAAUAUAAAACUCAAAUGCUUCUAAAGGAGUCUGAGAGUGUAAGUGCAAUGACAAGGUCCUGUGUGGUCAUUUUGGGGCAGUUGAUUAUUUUGCAGAAAGCAGUUUCCUUACCUUCUUGAUUUACAACUGAUGGAUUUGUCAUAAAAUGAUUUUCAAACACUGUUAUAUCAGAGCAUCAGUAUGUGUUCAGAAGCAUGUCCUACUUUGGCCCUAUAUGGCAAAACUGAUGACUGAAAUGUAAUUUCUGAAGCAUCUAUGUUAGGGCCUAAUUGAAGACAGUCUAAUAUAUAGAUUGUCAACAAGAAUUAGGGGGAAAAGAAUUUCUCAGUUGUUUUACUUUACCAUGCUCAUUACCUGUGAAUAAUCCCUGACAUGCAUUGUUGCUCUGAGUACCCAAUCUGGAAGAUGGUCUUAGCAAAAGUGAGCUAAUUCCCUAUAUUUCAUUUGCUAAAUGUUUGUAACUUUAAGGUACUGGAGGAAAGUUUAUGGAAAACAGAAAUACAGUCUUCAUUAUAAUUCUGAUAAGGCAAGUAUAUUAAAAACGUAAUAAAGACCUUACCUGAAUAUUUCAUUUUUGGUUGUUAUUUCUGUU
rnacentral:lncRNA from 1 species